AUCCUAUUAUCAUCCACAUUUUGCAACACACUGACUGUCAAUCAAUGACAUACUUCAACAGUAAGCAUUACAAAUUGCGAAAUAGAUUACACGCAGCCACAUGCAUCCAGUUCGCCUGGAUCGGACGAAUCACUCACUCUCUGACACGAAAGAUGUUACGCUUUUCUGUGAAUUGUCCAAAUCUAUUACAGUGGUAUCGAAUAUUGCUACAUAAAAGUAACAAAUAUUGAUUGAUGGUAGCAUCGAAUAAUCUAAAAGAGUAAAAACAGAGUAAUGAAUUGUUAGUUUCAAGUUAUUUUAUUUCGACGCACGAACACCAAUUGUGGCCAUAUAGUGUGUGAUUCGGAUGUUUUGCUCUGCGCUCGAGCAUGUUCAAAACUGUACUGACCUAGAACAUAAUACGUAUACAGAGCUCAGAGGAAAAACUUUGAAAAUUUGAUUUUUCGGGAAUUUGGGACGGACCAAGUUGCUUGUCUUGGACAAGUGUAUUAACAUAGGUAGCAGCUUCUAUGUGAGUACUUUUGUUUGAUUGUGAAUGUGUUGGAACUCGACAUUGACGAGUCUCGUGAUUCGCAAACUCUUCAUUUUUUUGGAUUGUAUUGACUAUUGUACGGUAGUAGUACUACGAGUGGUAUAUGCCUAUUUCACGUUGUGAAACACUAUUCACGUUGCAAACGUAAACACUUGGAACGGGAUGUUAUAGACCCUAUACCGUGCAGUGCAUGAAUGAAUGAUAUAACGCCUCUCUGCAGACCACUGGAUUGUCCAACAAAAAAGGCAGUAUUGUCAUUGGAAACGGAGUGUUCCCAUGAUUUGUGGAUUAUAAGAUUAACUAUCUUCUAGUUGAAGCUGUCUCUUGAUUUUUGACCUUCUGAAUUGGAGUUUAUCAUUGGAGGAUUAGACUAGAUUGUUGUGAAUUCUAUGGAAACCGGAAAGCGCAGACUGUUUGGGUUUUGAAAGUGUUUUAGAUUGAUGCCUUAUCGAAAACGAACAAGGGGUAUUCUGGUCUCUGACAUUUCUACUUUGCGAUGUGAAUAGGAAACAUAAGGAAACAUCAGAUUUCCUUGCAAUUGAAACAUUCUGCUCUUCAGUGUAUUUCUAGAUAGUGGAGUGAAUGCAAAGAUGAAGUGAAAUGUCUGCCGUAUUCCUGCUUUGACGUCUUAAAGGUGCACUCACCAUUAUGAUACUAUGUAAUGGAGGCAACCUGUGAUCCUUUUCGUAUUUAUGGAUAGUGCUCUUCCAACUGUAAUUAAUUACCUCAUCAAAGUGUGCAAGACGGAACAAAUCUCUUGGAAAUGCAACUUUAAAUCGGAUUGAAAGACAUCUUAACCUCAGAAGCAUCUAAAAACUAGGCAAUUGAACCCCUUAAAUUAUGCCAAAAAAUUGAACAGUAAGAAGCAUUCUUUGUGCAUUUAUCUUCGAAAGCUGAUGUGAUGGGAUGAACCUAUUGAAUAUUCAUGUUUAACAUUGUGAAUAUUCAUUGUUGUUUACAUUGUGAAUAUUCAUACUUUGUAUUGUGAAUGCGUAUAUUUGAAGAGACAAAGUUGUAUCUUCGGUAGAGAGUGUGCACGAGUGGGUCAUCGGUAUUCAUCAGUGCGCAGCAUUCUACUAGAAGGGUGCAACGUCUUCAAACAUUCAAGAACAUCCUUUCGGAACCUUGCAAAAUUUUUGCAGAACCGUACGGAAUCUUGCUGAACUUGGCAGUUGUGUGCUCUAUUGAGCCAUUUCAAACCAAAUACAUUUUUCUUGGAUCAUCUCCCAGUGUGGAUGUACUGUGUCCAGAAUUCACUCUGAAGGCAUUUGAAAAGAGAAGUUAACUAAGAACUUGUGAAAUAAAAAGAAUUCAAUAAACUUAUUGGCCAGUGUGAAACUUGGUCUUGUUGAAUUAUCUUGUUUGGAUAAAGCACACCGAGGGUACAGGAUUGACAAUCAAUUACAAUAGAAUUGAUUGAACUGGAAGUGGUCAGUCAAAGCAAGUAGAAAAAGGCUGGUGAAGGAGUCUAGUCUCCACUUGUAACUCGGGUAUUGUAUCCAGGUGAGUGCUGUAUGACUUUCGUCUUGCAAGAAAAGUUCUGUAGUGAUAUAUGAAGAUGAAAAUAUCAAUAAUGAUAAUACUAACGAUUGGAAUUCCUUGUGCUGUGCAAAAUUUAUCUGGAAGUGUUCUAUGCAUUAAUUUGAAUUGUAUUAGACCAUAAAUUAAGGACACCAUACUUAGUCAUGCUGAUAGUACAUUGAGUAUUUGUCCUCAAAACUCUUUAGGACUGCUAAGAUUUCAUGGAACCAUGUAGUCCUUCACAUUUAAGUUUUAUUUACCAUGGUUUCACUGAAGUGCUUAGAUACAUCUCUGUAUUUCAGCUUUUUGCUUUGAAAUGCAUCAAUUGUACGGAAGACCCUCCUUCUAAAAAAAUAGAUAAACUGAUAGAUAAAUAAAUAGAUAAAAAUUUAUUUUUGAGAGUAUUGACUCUGAAGUGAAAAAGAGUUGAAUACACCCUUGGAUGACCUGUCCUAUCAACUAGGGCCUUAGUUACUACCCAAAGGCCAUGGUUGAUAUUUAUAUAAAGCUAUCUAUGAUGAGGAAAUCAAACUUGACUUCUCUUCCUUUCUUUACACCCUUCAGUAAAAACCACACGCUUUUAAUCGUAAGUUAUGAUGACCUGUUAGAAAAUUGGGCUGUCUAUCUUAGAUGUAUAUUUAGAUGUAUAUUAUAGAUAGAUACAUUUUCAGUCAAGUGAUGUCAUGUCCAGUUUGGCACACAGUUCUGCAUUAUAGUGUUUCAAUUGCAGUUUGAUAUUUUUUUUCCAAAGGCUUGAAUACAUUAUUAUCAACCAAACGUCUUUCAAAACCAGCACUAAAAAAGAGAGAGAAUCUCGUAUAUGAAAUUUAAACAUUAUGAUAGGCUAAGAGAAGCUGAAAUAUUGUUUGGGUUAUCUAUUGAUCAGUUCUUGCUUAAAUAUAAUACAAUUCGUCACUCGUCUGGCAGAAGAGAGCAAA